GCCCGCUUGGCUUAGGGGUACAGCGGUAAGACUUCUCACUUCUCAUUGUCUAUGUUAGACGCUAAGCAGCAAAUAGUGUCACUCGUAAUGACAAGAUCCUCGGUUCGAUUCCGAGAGUGGGCA